GCUGGGUAUGGUGGUGCAUGCCUGUAAUCCCAGCAGUUUAGGAGGCUGAGGUAGGAGGAUCAUGAGUUCAAAGCCAGGCCUCAGCAACUUAUCAAGGCCUAAGCACCUCAGUGAGACCCUGUCUCUA
rnacentral:sRNA from 1 species